rnacentral:lncRNA from 1 species
UUUGGAGGGUCAUAUCUCCUAGCACACAAAUUAUUUGGGUGGACAAUAAUAUAUCCAUGGAAAGCCCUUUGAGUUAGCUACCUAACUCACUUCAUUUCACCUCAUUCGGAGUUCGGACGAAGAAGUUAUUCCCAUUUUCGUAAAGUCUGUCCGGCAGGAAAUGCAAUUUCCAGUAACCAUUUUUACUGUUCACCCGCCUCCUUUUUUUUUCUAAGUGUUGGACCAUUCUUCCAAAGGACAUAUAUUAUUUCCUAGAUACCAUUAGUUCAAUUCCCAUCCCUAAAACAUUUCCCUCUCUACAAUCCUCCAUUAAGAAGAAGAAGAACUUGGAGCUAGGGCUU